UUGGCGACGCCAUGUAAUCGAAGGAACCGCGGGAAUUUUUAGAGUUUGAUUCUGGCUCAGAUUGAACGCUGGCGGCAUGCCUUACACAUGCUUCUCGAACGGCAGCGGGGACUUCGGUCCGCCGGCGAGUGGCGAACGGGUGAGUAAUGUAUCGGAACGUACCUUUCAGUGGGGGAUAACGUAGCGAAAGUUACGCUAAUACCGCAUAUUCUGUGAGCAGGAAAGCAGGGGAUCGCAAGACCUUGCGCUGAUUGAGCGGCCGAUAUCAGAUUAGCUAGUUGGUGGGGUAAAGGCCUACCAAGGCGACGAUCUGUAGCGGGUCUGAGAGGAUGAUCCGCCACACUGGAACUGAGACACGGUCCAGACUCCUACGGGAGGCAGCAGUGGGGAAUUUUGGACAAUGGGCGCAAGCCUGAUCCAGCCAUGCCGCGUGAGUGAAGAAGGCCCUUCGGGUUGUAAAGCUUCUUUCGGCCGGGGAAGAAAUCGCCACAGGCCUAAUACCUUGUGUGGGAUGACGGGUACCGGAAAUAAGAAGCACCGGGCUUAACUUACGUGCCAGCCAGCCGCGGGUAAUACGUAAGGGUGCCGAGCGUUAAUCGGAAUUACUGGGCGUUAAAGCG
rnacentral:rRNA from 1 species